rnacentral:miRNA from 1 species
UGAUCAACAUUCCUGGUUUGCCUGGGACUGAGGGGGGUCCGAGGACACAGGAA